UGCCGGCGUCGGAAGGCUGGAAUUGCUAGCGGUACAUCGGUCGUUGAGCGUGAAUCGCUUCAGACAAACUCUGGGUGGCAGCCAGUAGCGUUAGCAUUCAUCGCCAGCUGUGCAAGAGUAUGCCGAAAGCCUGUCCCCCCUCCUACCUCGGCUCACCUCUUGUGAUGACCGGUCAUUGACUUUUUAAGGUAGGCCUAUGUAUAUAUGU